rnacentral:misc_RNA from 1 species
CACCAAACCAACCAACCAACCUACACGAAGCGUUCUUCGGGUCGUUCCAUUCGGACAGUGGUUAGAAGGCUAGCAGCUGAAGAGGACGCCUAUCUACCCGACCUAACGCGCGUAGUAGCUGCGUACCGGCGGCGGUGGUCACGGUUCGGAAAACGAGAACGAGGUGAUUACGGAUGGAUGGAUGCUUCAGCUUUACGCACCGCGAGGAGAUGCGCAGACCGGUUCUCGAUCUCUCCGAUCAUGUCGCGCGUCGCCGCCGCGCCGCCGCCGCCUCCGUUCGCGGCCUCACUUGCUGUGCCGCUGCCGUCCCUCUUGGACUCCCGCCGCAUUAACGAGUGGUAGAACUCCACCACCUCGGGCACGCGCCUCACGUCGCCCUGCCCCGACGAUGCCCCUGCAGGCGGUGCUGGCGCGGCGCCGAACUGCCUCCUUGCCGGAGGGGGAGGCG